GACGAACGCUGGCGGCGUGCUUAACACAUGCAAGUCGAACGGAAAGGCCCUGCUUUUGUGGGGUGCUCGAGUGGCGAACGGGUGAUUAACACGUGAGUAACCUGCCCUUGACUUUGGGAUAACUUCAUGAAACUGGGGCUAAUACCUGAUAGGAGCUCCUGCUGCAUGGUGGGUGUUGUAAAGUUUCGGCGGUUGGGGAUGGACUCGCGGCUUAUCAGCUUGUUGGUGGGGUAGUGGCUUACCAAGGCUUUGACGGGUAGCCGGCCUGAGAGGGGGACCGGCCACAUAGGGACAGAGAGACGCCGCAGAGACUUACGGGAGGCAGAAGUGUGGAGAAUUGAACAAAGGGCGGAAGAGUGAUGCAGAAAAGCAGCGUGCGAGAGGAGGGGCUUCGGGGUGUAAACCGCUUUCGCCUGUGAGGAAGCGAGAGUGACGGUAAUGGGUAAAGAAGCACCGGCUAACUACGUG
rnacentral:rRNA from 1 species